rnacentral:lncRNA from 1 species
GCGGUGGCUCGUCCUGUGCGACGGCUGCGCCUCAACCUUGUGAAUCCUGACCUCAUCGGCAGCGGCGGGCGGCACCGUGCGACGGUUGCGCCUCUAUCCUGCAGGCGCAUCGACGCAAGGGCCGACGGAAUACGGAUCCAACCCAAGGAGUUUCCCUACCCACACUCCAGGAGUUGUUGCAGCAGGUAUCGUCAUGCAUGGUGGCUAUCGUUUGCUGGAAAAAUACCGGCUCGGCAUUCUGCACGUCGCCCAGAUCCGAGGAGGAAGAUUGAGCAGCUUUGAUGCAGGUCGAGCACAGAUCAGAUUGGUGUCGGUGUCGAUUCAUGCUAGGGAGGUAGGUGUUUUGUUCUACUAGCUUAUAUUUCUUGAAUAUGUGGCAAAAUAGAUCGAUGUGUAUCUGAAGAUAUGCUCAGUGCGCAUUAUAUUAGUCAUCCCCAAAAUAAAUGUUUUACGGCAACAAUAACUAGAUACAUCUGUACGUAGACAUGAAAUGAGGUCUCAGUGCUUCUUCGUUGGGUCAGAAAUUGCAUCUUUUGCUGCUUCGGUGUGUAUAUGACCUGGCCACUUGUUCUAAGCAACAAAGCCAUUCCUUGAUUCAACUUCAACUUGAUGUGCUCAAGAGAAAACCACGUAAGCUAUUUUGCCUUGCAGUGGAAUGAACCAUUUCUCUGGGAUUCAAUAUAUCUCCAUCGAUUAGCCAGA